CCAUGUCUGUUUGCAACACUUGAACUAGUUGCUUUGAAAGCAGAUCCUUAACAAACAUUUGCUACAACUCAUUGCUAAUCAGCCUCCACACCUGUCCUCACUCUCCUUAAACAACACUGACACCCUACUUAAAUCUGACCAAACUAACAUUCCUCCUCAUUGUUCUGCAGUGCAUGUCACGUUCCUAGCCGUAGGUGUUCCAAAGGUCCAACUUGGAGAAGAUAACCGCCCCCUGGAGAGGCUCAAGAGCAGAGGAGAUGAGUGAUAGCAGGUACUCCCUCCGGUGCGCCCCAAGACAGGAAGUGCCUAUACGUCAUCUCACCAAGGAUAAACCAGCCAUGAAAUGUACUGGCGGCAUCGUGUGGAAGCUGUAGGCAUUGUAAUGGGAACCUCAUCUAUUUUCUAUCGCCUUAGACAACACAUUGACUGGCGGAUGAAUAUUUUUUUGUGUUUUUGGUGACCAGUUUUCCCAGUGAUUAUUACUCCUAAACACGUUCUGUUAUAGCCACAGACACGAUUUAACCAGUUUUAGAGACUUCAGAGUGUUUUCUAUACACACAUACUUAUCAUAUGCAUAUACUAUAUUCCUGGCAUGAGUAGCAGGACGUUGAAAUGUUGCGCGAUUUUUUACAAAAAGCUGCGAAGAUUCGCAUCAUCCGUAACAGGUUUCAACUACAGCUCAGCAUUCAACACAAUUGUCCCCUCCAAGCUCGUCACCAAACUUAGGACUCUCGGUCUGAAAACCUCCCUCUUCAACUGGAUUCUGGCCUUCCUGACGGGCUGACCCCAGGUGUUGAGGGUAGGCAACAUCCCUUCCGCCAUGCUGAGCCUCAUCACAAUAGCCUCACAGGGUUUGUGUGCUUAGCCCCCUCCUAUACUCCAUGUUCACCCAUGACUGCGUAGUCAUGCAUGACUCCAACACCGUCAUCAAGUUUGCUGCCAGAACGACAAUCUCUCCCUCAACGUUAGUAAGACCAAGGAUCUGAUCAUGGACUUCGGGAAAUGGAGGGGCGAGCACACCCCCAUCAAUGAUGGGGACGCAGUGGAGCAGGUCGAGAGCUUCAAGUUCCUUGGUGUCCAAAUCACUAAAGACUUAAAAUGGUCCAAACAUACUCACACACUUGUAAAAAACACAUACAUGUUAUUCAAUAAUUUCAUCCAAACUGCUCACACGGGUCAACGAGUGUCUGCUUAACCAGGCGCUAAAAUAGAACUUGGUUCUAUUUUAAACACCGGACGCGCUGCAAGUCCUGCCUCUCAAACAGACUGUCUUUUGUUAGAACUCAAACUUGGCAAUAACGGGAAACAGAGGUGUGGACUCAUAAGAUAUUCUGCCCAGCAACAACUACACCUGCCAACGGGAGCGCCUGGGGGCUAGGCCCAGCCUGUGCGCCAACGAUAGGCUGAGUGAGUCUAAACCACGCUCAGCCUCUAGAGUAUAUUAGAAGAACUUUGUCAGGAGUUAGUUUGUUGAACUUUGUUAGUUCUCUGUUCUGCCCUGCGUGGUGUUACAGUGAAC
ensembl:lncRNA